rnacentral:rRNA from 1 species
CUAAGUUUGAUGGCGACCGGCGCACGGGUGAGUAACACGUAUCCAACCUGCCGAUGACUCGGGGAUAGCCUUUCGAAAGAAAGGUUAAUACCCGAUGGCAUAGUUCUUCCGCAUGGUAGAACUAUUAAAGAAUUUCGGUCAUCGAUGGGGAUGCGUUCCAUUAGGUUGUUGGCGGGGUAACGGCCCACCAAGCCUUCGAUGGAUAGGGGUUCUGAGAGGAAGGUCCCCCACAUUGGAACUGAGACACGGUCCAA